rnacentral:rRNA from 1 species
AGGACGAACGCUGGCGGCGUGCUUAACACAUGCAAGUCGAGCGGUAAGGCCUUUCGGGGUACACGAGCGGCGAACGGGUGAGUAACACGUGGGUGAUCUGCCCUGCACUCUGGGAUAAGCCUGGGAAACUGGGUCUAAUACCGGAUAUGACCUGCUCUCGCGUGGGGGUGGGUGGAAAGAUUUAUCGGUGCAGGAUGGGCCCGCGGCCUAUCAGCUUGUUGGUGGGUAAUGGCCUACCAAGGCGACGACGGGUA